GCAAGUCUGGUGCCAGCAGCCGCGGUAAUUCCAGCUCCAAUAGCGUAUAUUAAAGUUGUUGCAGUUAAAAAGCUCGUAGUUGAACCUUGGGCCUGGCUGGCCGGUCCGCCUCACCGCGUGUACUGGUCCGGCCGGGCCUUUCCUUCUGGGGAGCCGCAUGCCCUUCACUGGGCGUGUCGGGGAACCAGGACUUUUACUUUGAAAAAAUUAGAGUGUUCAAAGCAGGCCUUUGCUCGAAUACAUUAGCAUGGAAUAAUAGAAUAGGACGUGCGGUUCUAUUUUGUUGGUUUCUAGGACCGCCGUAAUGAUUAAUAGGGAUAGUCGGGGGCAUCAGUAUUCAAUUGUCAGAGGUGAAAUUCUUGGAUUUAUUGAAGACUAACUACUGCGAAAGCAUUUGCCAA
rnacentral:rRNA from 1 species